rnacentral:misc_RNA from 1 species
UGGCUCUGGCAUCGAUGAAGAACGCAGCGAAAUGCGAUACGUGAUGCGAGUUGCAGAAUCCACGAGUCAUCGAAUCUUUGAACGCACAUUGCGCCUGCUGGUAAUCCGGCAGGCAUGCCUGUUCGAGCGUCAUUUCCACCCUCGGCCCCUGCGUGCGGGGUUCCGGUGUUGGGGAUCUGCCCCGCGUGCGGGGCAGUCCCUGAAAGACAGCGGCGGAUCUUUCCGAUUUCCAGCAUAGUAAAUCUUUUGCCGGGAUCUUGGGAAGCCCCUGCCAUAUCGCGGUGAGUGCCCCGCGCCUCCCGCCCCUAGCCUCGCGGCUAUUGCAAACGACCUCGGACAGGUAGGAAUACCCGCUGA